UAUAUUAUAAUACUAUUCAUUGACAGACAAUGUUGAGUUUUUUUUUUUUUGAGAGAAAGAUAGGUAGCACGCUAUCCGCUUUCGUUUAUUUUAUUUAGAAAUAAACUUAGCUGAAAAUGUGAAUCAAUUAGGAUUCGAACUUGGAUCUUGGGUACCAACCACCAAGUCCUUUGCCACUUACUCUAUAGACGGCCGGUGACAAUGUUGAGUUAUUAAU
rnacentral:lncRNA from 1 species